GGGGCCGUUCUUGGAUUCGACGGGGGUAGUUCGAGCAUGAGUAGCGAGUAGUGGGGACGCGUCCGCUUCAUCAACGCUAAAGCCUAUUAAACGGCAAACAACAAACAAACUACGCUUUCGCAGCCUAAGAAACUGUGUGCGUGCUUCUACCCUGCAUCGCCCAUGUGACAGGGAUAGGGGCUUCUAGGGUGACAUCAAAUCCGUGACUACACUCGUAGAAGCUUAUGUGCCGUUAUCUUCGGACAGGGGUUCGACUCCCCUCGGCUCCAUCA
rnacentral:tmRNA from 1 species